ACUACUUAUUUUAUUAGAAAUUAUUUUUUAUUGUGUGUCAUCUAGGUGAUUUUAUUACGUUUAUCUGAAUACAUUUUCUUUUUAGCGAAGUUAACAAAUAUUUUGCCAAAUCCGAGACCAAAGAAUUUAUUAAAAAGAAACUUUCCCUUAAAAAAUGCAAUUAAAAUACUCGAAAUAUUACAUCUAUGACGUAAAACUCGUGACGUAACGCGUGACGCAUUGCAACGACAAAUUCGAAUUCGUUCCAUUUCGUAUUGUUGCCGACGCCAUCUUGGAAUAGAAUGUUUUCCGGAAAUUGCGAGUUAUUUUUCCCUCCAUUUUAACAUUUUUCGUACGAAUUUUAAUAACGAAAGCUUGCGUAACAAGUUUCAUUCUCAAAUGUUUUAAUCCAUUUUCCGGAGAGACGUGGAAUAAUUUUGGAAACUUCUCGUGCUCAAAAAAUUUACAAGAAGCAAAACAACAGAAAGGAGGAAGUAUCAUUCUCAAAUGUUAUAAUCCAUUUUCCAAAGAGACACGGAAUCAUUUUGGAAACUUCUUGUGCUCAAAAAGUUUACAAAAAGCAAAACAACAGAAAG